UACGUAGGGCGCAAGCGUUUAUCCGGAAUUAUUGGGCGUAAAGAGCUCGUAGGCGGUUUGUCGCGUCUGCCGUGAAAGUCCGGGGCUCAACUCCGGAUCUGCGGUGGGUACGGGCAGACUAGAGUGAUGUAGGGGGAGACUGGAAUUCCUGGUGUAGCGGUGGAAUGCGCAGAUAUCAGGAGGAACACCAGCGGCGAAGGCGGCGCUCUGGGCCGGAACUGACGCUGAGGAGCGAAAGCGUGGGUAGCAAACAGG
rnacentral:rRNA from 1 species